UACGUAGGCAGCGAGCGUUGUUCGGAGUUACUGGGCGUAAAGGGUGUGUAGGCGGUUCUUUAAGUUUGGUGUGAAAUCUCCCGGCUCAACCGGGAGGGUGCGCCGAAUACUGAGGGACUUCGAGUGCGGGAGAGGAAAGUGGAAUUCCUGGUGUAGCGGUGAAAUGCGUAGAUAUCAGGAGGAACACCGGUGGUGUAGACGGCUUUCUGGACCGUAACUGACGCUGAGGAGCGAAAGCCAGGGGAGCAAACGGG
rnacentral:rRNA from 1 species